rnacentral:rRNA from 1 species
GAUGAACGCUGGCGGCGUGCCUCAAACAUGCAAGUCGAGCGGGGCUAUGUAAUAUCGCAAGGUAGAACAUAGCCUAGCGGCGAACGGGUGAGUAACACGUGGGUAACCUGCCUGGAAGACAGGGAUAACGAUUCGAAAGGGUCGCUAAUACCUGAUAAUAUCCUUUCAUCGCAUGGUGAUAGGAAGAAAGGGGAAACCCGCUUUCAGAUGGGCCCGCGUCCCAUCAGCUAGUUGGUAAGGUAAAGGCUUACCAAGGCGACGACGGGUAGCCGGUCUGAGAGGAUGUACGGCCACACUGGGACUGAGAUACGGCCCAGACUCCUACGGGAGGCAGCAGUUGGGAAUCUUAGGCAAUGGACGAAAGUCUGACCUAGCGACGCCGCGUGAGGGAGAAGGCCUCGGUUGGUAACUACUCGUCAUGGGAGGAAGUAAGUAGAGGUACCCGAACGAGGAAGGACCCUCGCCUAACUAACGUCGCCACGCAGCCGCGGUAAGUGAGUAGGUACA